CAAGAACAAGAACAAGAAAAAAAGAAAAAUUAUUCUCUGCUCUUGCAUGUCCUUCCUGGGAGAUAGCAAAUCUCUGAGCUGAGUCCCUGAGGGACAGAACACAGGAGACUUCUGCCAAAUCCUAGGUUAAGGGUGUCUGCUUUUCCUGAAAGAGUAUGACUGUCCAAGGAUUGCAGCUGAGCCUGACUGGAUGUUGUACACUAUCUGAAACUGCCUAUGAAGGAGCAAAUCCAAAGAGUCCAGAGAAUGGACCUAUCUAGAAGAUGAGAAGAUGAGACCCAGCUAACACAGGCUCCAGAGGUGACCUUCAUGAUGACUCUACAAAGGGAGAAAGGAUAUCUAGGCCCUGUGGUUCCAGAAUUGCUAAGACUUUUGGAGCUGCCAGUAAAAUCAUAAUCUGAACUCAUAAAACCAAUAUUCUAUAAACAAAGCUGAAUCUCAUGGAAUGGGAACAAAUCUGACCUAAGCCAGGAAAAUUCCUCAAAGAAACAAAAUGCCUAAUAGUCUCAAAGCAGUAGGGAAAAGGAACAUUGAGGUUGGGGUCGAGGAGGAUAGGACUGAUGGGAAUCUUCCCUCUCCUCCAUCAGAGGGGCCAUUGAAACACUAUAGGCUCUGUGUACUGCAGCUAAAGUGAUUGUGGGAAGAGCCAGGAGGGCAUAUCAGAGGAGGAAUUA